AGCUUGCGGUUUAAUUGGAGUCAACGCCGGAAAUCUCACCGGGAGCGACAGCAGAGUGAAGGCCAGAUUAAAGGUCUUGCCAGACAAGCUGAGAGGAGGUGCAUGGCCGUCGCCAGUUCGUGCCGUGAGGUGUCCUGUUAAGUCAGGCAACGAUCGAGACCCGCAUCCACUGUUGCUACUAGCUUUGUGCUGGGCACACUGUGGAGACCGCCACUGAUAAAGUGGAGGAAGGAGCGGGCCACGGCAGGUCAGUAUGCCCCGAAUCUCCCGGGCCACACGCGAGCUGCAAUGGCAGGUACAAUGAGUUCCAACCUCGAAAGGGGAAGGCAAUCUCGAAAGCCUGCCGUAGUUGGGAUCGAGGGUUGUAACCCAUCCUCGUGAACAUGGAAUCCCUAGUAAUCGCGUGUCAUUAGCGCGCGGUGAAUACGUCCCUGCUCCUUGCACACACCGCCCGUCGUUCCACCCGAGCGACUCUUGGGUGAGGCGCCGUCUUUCAUGGCGGCGUCGAAUCUAAGUUUCGUGAGGGGGGAA
rnacentral:rRNA from 1 species